rnacentral:lncRNA from 10 species
AGAAUAUUAUUUGUUCUCUGAAAUCAUUUUAAACUAAGAGUUCCAGCCAGGUGCAGUGCUCAUGCUUGUAAUCCAAGUACUUUGGGAAGCCUGGGCAGGAGGACAGCUUGAGCCCAGGAGUUCUAGACCAGCCUGGGCAACAGAAUGAGAUCUCAUCUCUACUAAAAGUUUGUGUGUGUGUGUGUGUGUGUGUGUGUGUGUGUGUGUGUGUGUGUGUGUGUUUCUGGAGAUGGUGUUUCACACUUGUUGCCCAGGCUGGAGUGCAAUGGUGUGAUCUCAGCUCAACGCAACCUCUACCUCCCGGGUUCAAGCGAUUCUCCUGCCUCAGCCUCCCAAGGAGCUGGGAUUACAGGCACACGCCACCACGCCCGGCUAAUUUUGUAUUUUUAGUAGAGAUGGGGUUUCUCCAUGUUGGUCAGACUGGUCUCGAACUCUCGAUCUCAGAUGAUUUGCCUGCCUCAGCCUCCCAAAGUGCUGGGAUUACAGGCGUGAGCCACCGUGCCUGGCCUACUAAUAAUUUUUUUAAAAAUUAGCUGGGCAUGGUGGUGUGCACCUGUAGUCUCAGCUACUCAGGAAGCUGAGGUGGGAGGAUCACGAGCACAGGAAAUGGAGGCUGCUAUGAUUGUGUCACUGCAUUCCAGCUUGGCCAAGAGAGCAAGACUGUGUCUCAAAAAAAUUUAAAAAAAAAAAAAUUUAAAUAAGAAUUCCUAAUCCAGAGCUUUGAUUAAAAAAAACAAAAAAAAAUCUGAGUUUAUUGGGAAUUUAAUGGUUAGCUUUCAGAAUAUCCCACAUAUCUUUAUUUUGGAAAUUCCCAAAACUCUCACAUUAAGAAAAAAUUCUAUUAGCACUGUGGCAGGAAAUGGUUGUCUUCUGAAUCCAUAAAUUUAAGCUCUAAAAAUCUGAUCAAUGCUACCUGAAAAGGCCCCCAUGGAUAAGGGAUGCUUUGAGGUAUUUCUUCCUUUUCCUGCCUUCCUCAGUAAGACAGAUUUCAUUAAAUUUUUUUUUUUUUUCAUUUUGGAGCAAAGCUGUUAUUCACUUCAGGUUAAACGUGAUGUCUUUUUUUUUUUUUUUUUUUUUUUUUAAGAUAGAGUCUCGCUCUGUCGCCCAGGCUGGAGUGCAGUGGUGCCAUCUCGGCUCACUGCAAGCUCCGCUUCCAGGGUUCACGCCAUUCUCCUGCCUCAGCCGCCUGAGUAGCUGGGACUACAGGUGCCUGCCACCACGCCUGGCUAAUUUUUUUUUGCAUUUUUAGUAGAGACGGGGUUUCCCUGUGUUAGCCAGGAUGGUCUCGAUCUCCUGACCUCGUGAUCCACCCGCCUUGGCCUCCCAAAGUGCUGGGAUUACAGGCGUGAGCCACCGCGCCCGGCCAAUGUGAUGUCUUCAUUCUUGUUAGUGGCAGAAUACACGAGCAAUGUGGGACGGGUCUGGGGAAGUUGGAAAAGAAUCUCUCCCUCAUGCUGGAGUAGAGUCGAUUCCCACUCCCAGCUAUCACCCACCACACAACUGCCACCACAGGGGCAACGGCUCUGCCAAGAAGCAGAAAGCAGACUCGUGUUGCUGUGAUCCAGAACAGUUCCUGCUGGUUCUGGAGGGGAAAAUAGAAAACCUUUAAAACCUAUUUUAAAACUCCUUUCCAAGGAUCCCAUUCAUUCAGAGGCACACAUCUUGUUUGACUCUCUAUGAGUUUUACAGAUAAGGUCUUCCAUGCAAAACAGCUGGCGGCACCAGGUUGUACCUUGCCUGACCCAGUCUGUGUGCUAGUGUCAAUUCCCAGACGUCAGUGGUCCAGUCUGAAAUCUCUACCACAUCUUUUUCAGCAGCUAUUACAAGGAUGAGACUAUCAAACGCACUCAAACAUGUCUGGAUUGAAUUAGUGCUGUAUGCCCUUUCAGUUACAGUAGUUUAAAAUUAGAAUAUAUUAAUAGUGGAGUUAAAAUCCCAGCCUCAGCUGUGUUUGUUAGAUAAACUCAAAGCUUUUUUGACAGUUCAUUGUCAGAAAGAAAAGAGAUGCAUAUUAAGAUGCUUCACUUUCACGUAUUAGCUGCUUCCAACAAACUAUCUAAUGACAGUAUUACAAUAAUAAAUUCCAAGAGCAAACUGAGAACAACUCCCCAAAAUUUAAGACCGACAUUUUAAUUCUAUUAUACAUUCAUGUCAAAGCAGUUCUUCCCCAGCACCCAUAAAAGAAUGGAAAAUUAGAAUGCUUUUCAGUUCAAGUCACACAGUUAAAUCUAGUUCCCGAAAUAUUUAGCAAUCUUUAUCUUUAGUGCCUUCAAUUUAAGAAGCAAUACUCAGCUUAAAGGUGCUCUGUAAUUACUUCUUACCGAGAAUAAACAAGAAAUCUUAUUUUAAAUUAUAUCCUCUGGGAUAGCAAGAGAUCCAAAUUAGAGAUAUAGAACUAAUUGAAAUGUAGACCUUUUCCUUUAGAUGUAUUUUAAUAGAGAUAGGGUUUUCGGUGAAUUAUUAACAUAUACUUAUAUAUGAUCAGUUACAUACCAAAAUGACACUAUUCCCUGUUGUUUAAAGGUUAAAACACAGACACACACACACACACACACACACACACACACACGAAAAGACACACAAGACAGAUUUUCACCAGACAUUGGAAAAAUUAUUCAUAUAUAUAUAUUUUUGAGAUGGAGUCUCACUCUUUCACCCAGGCUGGAGUGCAGUGGCACAAUCUCUGCUCACUGCAACCUCUGGUUCAAGUGAUUCUCCUGCCUCAGCCUCCUGAGUAGCUGAGAUUACAGGUGCAUGCCAACACGCCUGG